GCCAGCAGCCAAAUCACUCUGCAACUCACAACUGGCAACCCACUGAAGCUAAGUUGCUGUGAGCCUGGUCAGUACCUGGAUGUGUGACCUUCUGGGAAAAACUAAGGUUGCUGCUGGAA
rfam:Lepisosteus oculatus linkage group LG2, whole genome shotgun sequence.